rnacentral:rRNA from 1 species
CCUACGGGGGGCAGCAGUGAGGAAUAUUGGUCAAUGGACGAGAGUCUGAACCAGCCAAGUAGCGUGCAGGAUGACUGCCCUAUGGGUUGUAAACUUCUUUUAUAAAGGAAUAAAACGAGGCACGUGUGCCUCUUUGCAUGUACCUUAUGAAUAAGGAUCGGCUAACUCCGUGCCAGCAGCCGCGGUAAUACGGAGGAUCCGAGCGUUAUCCGGAUUUAUUGGGUUUAAAGGGAGCGUAGAUGGGUUGUUAAGUCAGUUGUGAAAGUUUGCGGCUCAACCGUAAAAUUGCAAUUGAUACUGGCAGUCUUGAGUACAGUUGAAGUAGGCGGAAUUCGUGGUGUAGCGGUGAAAUGCUUAGAUAUCACGAAGAACCCCGAUUGCGAAGGCAGCUUACUAAACUGUGACUGACAUUGAUGCUCGAAAGUGUGGGUAUCAAACAGGAUUAGAUACCCUGGUAGUC